rnacentral:ncRNA from 1 species
GCUGGACAAAGGCAAACUUCGCGCAAGCGGAGGACGCAAAGCUACAGGGGCUCGAUGGCCAUCGCGCAUCGUGCCAGCCAGCUGCCUGG